rnacentral:ncRNA from 2 species
AACUUAUCUAGAGAGGUGGAGGGAUGGGCCCAAUGAAACCCGGCAACCGGCUGAUAAGCCACGGUGCCAAUUCCUACAGAAAGAUUCUGAAAGAUGAGUG